AUAUGUGAAAGUGUUUAACAGAAUGCUUACUUUGGAAUGGUGAUAAGCAUUAAAAAAAAGACUGAAAUAUAC
rfam:Camelus ferus unplaced genomic scaffold scaffold964, whole genome shotgun sequence.